CCAGAGCAGUAUGAGUGCCACUGAAAAUCAGCUCGCAUGCUGCCUUCGGCACGCGUGCCAUAGGUUGCCUACCCCUGGUAUAGAAGAAAGACUCAAGCUCUAGCCUCCUGCUUGAAGCUGUUACUCCAGAGAUCGUUCCUCUGUACUGGGUUCCAUUGUUGCAUUGCCAGCUUUCAUGAAGACAGAAGACUGGGGGAGCCUAACGUGAUAAGGCCCAGCGACCUAUCCCCACAUCCUGUUUAGAAGACUAUUCCAGCCGCUGCCUACUUGGAGAUCAGAAGAAGGAUGACCAUAUUCAGAGGAUAUUAAUAUUUAUAGUAAUAUUCCCAGAUGG